rnacentral:rRNA from 1 species
GACACUGAACAUUGAGCCUUGAUGUGUAGGAUAGGUGGGAGGCUUUGAAGUGUGGACGCCAGUCUGCAUGGAGCCGACCUUGAAAUACCACCCUUUAAUGUUUGAUGUUCUAACGUUGGCCCCUGAUCGGGGUUGCGGACAGUGUCUGGUGGGUAGUUUGACUGGGGCGGUCUCCUCCUAAAGAGUAACGGAGGAGCACGAAGGUUGGCUAAUCCUGGUCGGACAUCAGGAGGUUAGUGCAAUGGCAUAAGCCAGCUUGACUGCGAGCGUGACGGCGCGAGCAGGUGCGAAAGCAGGUCAUAGUGAUCCGGUGGUUCUGAAUGGAAGGGCCAUCGCUCAACGGAUAAAAGGUACUCCGGGGAUAACAGGCUGAUACCGCCCAAGAGUUCAUAUCGACGGCGGUGUUUGGCACCUCGAUGUCGGCUCAUCACAUCCUGGGGCUGAAGUAGGUCCCAAGGGUAUGGCUGUUCGCCAUUUAAAGUGGUACGCGAGCUGGGUUUAGAACGUCGUGAGACAGUUCGGUCCCUAUCUGCCGUGGGCGCUGGAGAACUGAGGGGGGCUGCUCCUAGUACGAGAGGACCGGAGUGGACGCAUCACUGGUGUUCGGGUUGUCAUGCCAAUGGCACUGCCCGGUAGCUAAAUGCGGAAGAGAUAAGUGCUGAAAGCAUCUAAGCACGAAACUUGCCCCG